GGGAUUGCCUUAGUAACUGCGAGUGAAGCGGCAAAAGCUCAAAUUUGAAAUCGGGGUCCUUUUCGGGCUUCGAGUUGUAAUUUGGAGGGAUAACUUCGGUACGGACUACAUCGUAAGUUCCUUGGAACAGGACGUCAUAGAGGGUGAGAAUCCCGUGUCUUGGUGUUUGGCCGUGCCAUGUGAAGUGUCUCCGACGAGUCGAGUUGUUUGGGAAUGCAGCUCAAAAUGGGUGGUAAAUUUCAUCUAAAGCUAAAUAUUGGCGAGAGACCGAUAGCGCACAAGUAGAGUGAUCGAAAGAUGAAAAGCACUUUGAAAAGAGAGUUAAAAAGUACGUGAAAUUGUUGAAAGGGAAGCGCUUGCGACCAGACUCGAUCUUUGGUGAUCAGCCGGGCUUCUGUCCGGUGCCCUUACCAUUGAUUGGGCCAGCAUCGGUUCUGGCGGUGGGAUAAAAGGAGGAGGAAUGUGGCUCCCUUCGGGGAGUGUUAUAGCCUCCUUCACAAUGCCACCAGUUGGGACCGAGGACCGCGCUUCGGCUAGGAUGCUGGCGUAAUGGUCUUAAGCGA
rnacentral:rRNA from 1 species